AUUGAACGCUGGCGGCAGGCCUAACACAUGCAAGUCGAACGGUAACAGGAAACAGCUUGCUGUUUCGCUGACGAGUGGCGGACGGGUGAGUAAUGUCUGGGAAACUGCCUGAUGGAGGGGGAUAACUACUGGAAACGGUAGCUAAUACCGCAUAACGUCGCAAGACCAAAGAGGGGGACCUUCGGGCCUCUUGCCAUCGGAUGUGCCCAGAUGGGAUUAGCUAGUAGGUGGGGUAACGGCUCACCUAGGCGACGAUCCCUAGCUGGACUGAGAGGAUGACCAGCCACACUGGAACGGAGACACGGUCCAGACUCCUACGGGAGGCAGCAGUGGGGAAUAUUGCACAAUGGGCGCAAGCCUGAUGCAGCCAUGCCGCGUGUAUGAAGAAGGCCUUCGGGUUGUAAAGUACUUUCAGCGGGGAGGAAGGGAGCAAAGUUAAUACCUUUGCUCAUUGACGUUACCCGCAGAAGAAGCACCGGCUAACUCCGUGCCAGCAGCCGCCGCGG
rnacentral:rRNA from 1 species